rnacentral:lncRNA from 1 species
AAUUGAAUUAAACUAUAACUUAUAAAAUUGAAUAAGAGUGAAAAACAUGCUUCAAAAUAAGAUGUUCUGGCCAAUAGUUCAAACAGUUCAAUCAAUUCAAAGCAGUGCCAUUUGUUUGAAUUGUUAUAUGGUUCAAUUCAGUUCGCCUGAACUAUUAUGCAGUUUAGUUUAGUUCGUCCAAAUUGCCUUUACAAUUUAAUUCAAUUCUAUAACAGUUCAGUUUGGUUCAUCACUUCAUCUACUUUGCCCACCCCUAAUCAUUUGGCCAGUCUCUUGCUUUUUUACCACCACCCACUAAUGAUGAUUUCAAGUAAGCCAACUUCUUCACCUAUCUGCCUUUUAAGAUUGAUCUCCCAUUUGCAUUAGGGUUCCACUUAAUUCAAUCUUUCUCCUCAUUAUGUUACUUAAGUUAUCAUCAUUUGCUUGUUUGGCGUUAUACUUCCCUUUCUUUCUUAACCAGUGCCUACUUUUAUACCAUCCUAGUUGUCAAUAAACUAUGAUUGAUGGAAUGUGUACGCUAUAGUCACCAACAGUUGAUGAGUUUAUUCUACAAAAACAAAUGACAUCACACACUAACAAUAAAAUCUGGCUUUCUGAAAUUAUUGAAAAGGAGCAUAUGUUCAAUUUCUAGCAGGACCUAAAUAGGGACAUAGACAAAACCAAAGAAGUUUGUUCGGAACAAAAACUUUUCCCUAUGAAUCUAAUUGUUUUUUAACAGAAAAAAGGGAAGGAAGGAUACAAGGAAAGAAUUUUAGGACUAUUUUCUGUUUAGUGAUGGUACAAAUUUUAUAUGGGCUCCACAUUAAAGAGUGGUUGUUUCCCAUUUUGACAGAAAAGGAAGAAUGAGAGCUUGAAAUGUAAACGAAACUAAUGCCCUUAUUUAUAUCACAAGACAUCUCAUUUUUUAUUUAGAGUAUUUGUCAUAUUACACACAGUUUUUUCUCUUUCAUUUUUCUCCCCUACCAACCAACCUACAAAAUCACCUCAAUUCAUUCUACUUUUCGUUCCUUCCAUUUUGUGAAUGUUACAAGAGAGAAAAAAAUGGGUUAUGUUCGAUCUUCCCUACUAGACCAACUACAACUUCUCCAAGUUUUGUACUUACUAGGUUAGUAGUUAGUACUCAAAACAAGUAAAAAAAAUAGAGAAUGAAAAUCAGUGGUGGGCACUACUACAAUCAUGACCAAAUUUUGUAUGGUGGGGGAGCUAAAGAAUCCUUCUUCACCAAAGCUUAUGCAUCUACACCCUUCAACAAAAUGUGGUUACAGAAAGCAAGAAUGGACACCUUUUAGAGGUAUCCCAUUCCUUAAUGUUCCAGAUAAAUAUUACAGAGAAGCUCUCUUACAUUACUGCAGCUCUCAUCAAUAAAUUUAAUGAACCACUGGAUCCUUGCACACCUAUAUCAGCUGCUGGCUACAAGAGAUAUGUCGUUUGACUUGUCAAAAAAGGGACUACAAAAAAGUGGCCAGCCAUUACUCAUUUAGAGAGUAGAGAGCAAUUAGUAGCAAAAAUCCAAGGAUGAAUGUCUAGUAGACUGGGGAUAGAACUGAAGGUGGGGAAUUUGAUAUAUUAGACACUUACAAGGCCCAAUAUUAUCUACAGCAUAGAGCCAGUUUGUGCAUUGUCCAACUGAAAAGGACAAAGGAAUUAUCUAGAGGCAGCCAACUGUAUAUUGAAAUAUCUGAGGGGAACUCCAGGCAAA